rnacentral:rRNA from 1 species
AUUGAACGCUGGCGGCAGGCCUAACACAUGCAAGUCGAACGAGUGGCGGACGGGUGAGUAAUGUCUGGGAAACUGCCUGAUGGAGGGGGAUAACUACUGGAAACGGUGGCUAAUACCGCAUACCAUCGGAUGUACCCAUAUGGGAUUAGCUUGUGGGUGGGGUAAAGGCUCACCAAGGCGACGAUCCCUAGCUGGUCUGAGAGGAUGACCAGCCACACUGGAACUGAGACACGGCCCAGACUCCUACGGGAGGCAGCAGUGGGGAAUAUUGCACAAUGGGCGCAAGCCUGAUGCAGCCAUGCCGCGUGUAUGAAGAAGGCCUUCGGGUUGUAAAGUACUUUCAGCGGGGAGGCGUUACCCGCAGAAGAAGCACCGGCUAACUCCGUGCCAGCAGCCGCGGUAAUUC